GAGAAAACCACCAGGCAGUACCUGCUCCCUACACAGAGCAAUAUCACCUGAUGGAUCCAAGGGCUGCACAGAGCUCUCCAGGGAAAAACUACCUGCUGCAAUUCAGACUGCUACUAACUGAGCGGAUUCAAGGCCACAUUGUUCCCGCCCUCCACUCAAGCGACCUAUCUACAAAACAGCUGAAUUAAUAACAAAAAUAAAAGGAGAAAGACAUCCCAUGACAAACGCCUUCAUCUUCUGCUGACCCACUUCAGUGAGAACACUUGAAAAUUCUGUGGCUUUUACUGGGAAUGAUUUUGCCAGGACUAAGAACUGCAAUUAGUCUGUAAAACCAGUGUUGCUUGCUCCAGACACACACAGACUUUAAGGCACCCUCUGCAUCAGAGCUGAGCAGGGGUUUAAAAUUUCUUUGCAAGAGAAAUCCCAGGCCUCUGAGUUACACACCAGAAAUCCAUUUUUAUCAUUCUCUCUGACAUGUUUUUAUGAGAACAUUAAAUGCCAAUAAAGCCGAGAGAGUAAAACCAGGAUUCUGCCGAAGGCAAGGCUGAGAACAAUAGUAUUAGUGAACUACAAUUCGUCAUCACAAGGCCAAAUGGCAUAUAGGUGUUGCUAUACAGCAACACAGCCCUGGCCUGUAAGCAAGCAUUUAUUGCUGUAGGUAAAUACCAGCUGCCUCACUCUGAGCCCCAGCAGUUUAGUUUAUAUCACAGGUUUUAGUCUUUCGUAUGUAAACAAAGUUAUGCAAACAUAUACAUUUGAAUUUGGGGUAGUUUUUUUCUGAAGCUAAUCUUAACAAAAGAAGAAGAGCGCUGAGAUACUGAGAAGUGAAAUGCAGGAACAGUGUCUCUGGUUUGAGUUACAAGGAAAGGCCAUAAGUCCUUUUGAAACCCAAUCUUUGCCAAACACACACCACAUGUGUGUUUGUGCAUGUAGGUCUGUAACAACGGCGUGCAGAGGUCUCGUUUUACUCUCUUCUGUAAUGAAUGAAUUUGAUUAAAGGGCCAAAAAUUCAAUGUGCAAGAGCUGCAAUGUGAAAAAUCCCGGCCCCAUUAGCCUUUGCUGCGGCAGGAAGAGGACUUCUGUAGGCACGGAGCAUAUUUUUCCCCUAUGCACGAUGCACCAAACGAGCUUUUCACCAAAACCCUCCCGAAACAAGAAACAAACCCAAAAAACCCCAACGAGAAGCAGGGAGCGCUUGGCUCGGGAGCCGUUCGUGCCGGGAGCUGUGCUGCCACCUGCUGCUGGCUCCGGGGAUGGCCCCAGCCGCCGCCUGCAGCACUGCAGAAACCUCGGAAUUGGUACCAAUGUCACUGCUGGUUUACAAAAGUUCUUCUCCUUCGAGUUUUUAACCUCCGCCCCCUCCAAACGUAAGUAUUUCUCUGGAAAAAAAAACCCCGACAACACAACACAAAAACAAAACCAAAGGAAACAAAAAAAGACAGCGAGUGAUGGAGGGAAAACAUUUGUGAAGAGUUUGGGUUUCUGCUGAUUCCGUUCAAGCACCUUUCCCCCUCCUCUGCUUUUCCAUGCACCUCGUACAGACCCACAGUCAGAGGGGUCAGGUCAUCCCUGUGUGAUUAACAAUCACAAUUAAACAAUUAACAGCUCCCACACCUCAGCAAAGCUCCCUGGGACUGAGGUGGAGAAAGAGCUUUAGAGCUCCUGAACAUUGCCAUCCCCUGGUGACAUUUCUUAAAAGCUCAGUCUGCAACAGCAGCCUACCAAGAAACAGCAAAAUGCUCUCAGCCAAAUGACUUUUCUUAAUUUUGUAAUGUAAAUUCUGAAGGCAUUAACAAUGUAAUUCCUGGAAGUGUCAGAAGCAGCUCUGAUCAUCCUUUCUCUCAAGACAUAAGAACUGCAGGACCACAAGCAUUCCGAUUAUGGCAAAAUUGCUUCAGAACAGUGUGGCAAAUCUGCCAUGCCUUCCAUACCACAAGAUCUAUAGAGGAUACAACUAUGAGAAAUGGAACAAAAAGGAAUGCCUCAAGUCUCACACAUCCAAAACACCACUCACAGCAGGAGGUCUUAAAAAAAUAGUGUAUAUUGUUUCAUUUAAAAAACAAGAGUAACAUUUUCAGACAGAAAACAAAAAGGACAGAGACAGCACACCUUCCCUUCUUCAUCCAGCCCUGUUCUUACUGUGCUUUGAAAAAAACCAGGAAGAUAAAAAUUUAAUAUUGGCAGCCUCACAGAUCUGGUAAGAAGCAUCACUCAAGCAACUCUACCUAUAUAUAAUACCUUGUUUUAAAAAAAACACUGGUAUUUACAUUGUAAGUUUUUUUAGAGUGUUAUUAAUAUAGUACUCAGUGGCAAGAAAUGCAGGCACUGAGGUGGUAAAAUACGUGCUCAACUACAACCAGAAGAUUUAAAAUGUUUAAUGUGCAAGUCUUGGACAGAAAUUAUUCAUUUACAAUACACUAAAAUUUGAAGGAUAGGAAUUUCUUCUUCAUGUGUAUGCUCACAGUAGCAGGUAAAAUAGCUGCUGAAGUACAAACAUCAGUAUGCUUAAGUGACUUAUGCAUCAUUUUUAAGGCAAAAAUAGGUAACAACAUGACUGCAUACAGUUGCAAAAAUAUUUACAGAUAUCAUUAGAGAAACAUUAUACUUCCAGCAUGAAUAUUUUAAUUAUGCACUUAGUAGACAGUGAUUUAUUUGAAAAAUUAUCAUUAAAAAUGUAAAAUUAACCUAGCUAGGAUGAGUAGCACUGACAUUUUUACCCAGGCCUCCACACUCUGAUCUUUGCCCCUCAACCUCUAUCACUACAAGCUGUCCUCUCUCUCCUUGCCACUUCCCAGUCUUAUUACAAAGGUGCAGGUGUGUCUGAGAGGCACAGAGGAAGAUCCACAGAGGAAGAAGGUGCAGCACUAAAAAUGUAUGCAAAAGGUCCCAACAAGAAAAAAAGGAAAAAAAAAUAAAAAUAGAUCCUGAGAAAUAAAAUUAGUGGGAAGAAAAAAACCCAAAAAACUAAAGGUGCUAUCUGCAGGUAUCCAGGGAUUUGCUCAGUCAUCCUUGUCUUUUGCUCCAUGUUUCAGGAUGCGCGUGAAUUCGAUGUAGUUGAAAUUGCCCUUCUUGUCGAUGGGGGCCUCUCUGUAAAGCUCAUCCACCUCUUCAUCCGUGAACCUGUCUCCCAUGGUGGUCAGCAGCUCCCGCAGGUAGUCUUCUUGGAUGAACCCUG